UACAGAGGUCUCAAGCGUUGUUCGGAUUCAUUGGGCGUAAAGGGUGCGUAGGCGGCGCGGUAAGUCGGGUGUGAAAUCUUGGAGCUUAACUCCGAAACUGCAUUCGAUACUGCCGUGCUUGAGGACUGGAGAGGAGACUGGAAUUUACGGUGUAGCGGUGAAAUGCGUAGAUAUCGAUAAGGAAGACCAGUGGCGAAGGCGGGU
rnacentral:rRNA from 1 species